rnacentral:rRNA from 1 species
AUUAGAUACCCUGGUAGUCCACGCUGUAAACGAUGGAUACUAGGUGUGCGGGGACUGACCCCCUGCGUGCCGCAGCCAACGCAAUAAGUAUCCCACCUGGGGAGUACGAUCGCAAGGUUGAAACUCAAAGGAAUUGACGGGGGCCCGCACAAGCGGUGGAUUAUGUGGUUUAAUUCGAUGCAACGCGAAGAACCUUACCAGGGCUUGACAUCCUACUAACGAGGUAGAGAUACGUUAGGUGCCCUUCGGGGAAAGUAGAGACAGGUGGUGCAUGGUUGUCGUCAGCUCGUGUCGUGAGAUGUUGGGUUAAGUCCCGCAACGAGCGCAACCCUUAUUGUUAGUUGCUACGCAAGAGCACUCUAGCGAGACUGCCGUUGACAAAACGGAGGAAGGUGGGGACGACGUCAAAUCAUCAUGCCCCUUAUGUCCUGGGCUACACACGUAAUACAAUGGCGGUCAACAGAGGGAUGCAAAGCCGCGAGGUGGAGCAAACCCCUAAAAGCCGUCCCAGUUCAGAUCGCAGUCUGCAACCCGACUGCGUGAAGUCGGAAUCGCUGGUAAUCGCGGAUCAGCAUACCGCGGUGAAUACGUUCCCGGGCCUUGUACACACCGCCCGUCACACCAUGAGAGUCGGGAACACCCGAAGUCCGUAGCCUAACCGCAAGGGGGGCGCGGCCGAAGGUGGGUUCGAUAAUUGGGGUGAAGUCGUAACAAGGUACC